rnacentral:rRNA from 1 species
UACAGAGGUCUCAAGCGUUGUUCGGAUUCAUUGGGCGUAAAGGGUGCGUAGGCGGCGCGGUAAGUCGGGUGUGAAAUCUCGGAGCUUAACUCCGAAACUGCAUUCGAUACUGCCGUGCUUGAGGACUGGAGAGGAGACUGGAAUUUACGGUGUAGCGGUGAAAUGCGUAGAUAUCGUAAGGAAGACCAGUGGCGAAGGCGGCUCACUGGCCCGUAACUGACGCUGAGGUGCGAAAGCGUGGGGAGCAAACAGG